AUGGGGAAUCCCGACGGGGCGAGGAAGAAGAAGAGGAGGAAGAGGAGCGGCGGCGAGGCGGCCGCCUCGUUCGACCGCGACGUCUUCCCCAUCCUCCUCGCGGCCGUCGCGCCAGCCACCGGGCCGAACCAACGCGCCUCCUCCGCCGCCACCGCCGCGCGCCUCCUGCGCCGCCUUCUCCCCCGCUCGCCGCCGCCGCCGCCGCUAUCCCCUCUCCCCGGACCCCUGGUCGCGCUCCUACCGCUCCUCCUCACCUCCAGCUCGCACUCCGUGGCCGCGCUGAGCUGCGAGGUGAUGGGCGCGGCGGCGCUGCAGUCCAUGGAGGCCGGCGAGGCGCUGGCAUCCGACGGCGGGAUCGCCAGUGGCUUGGCGCGGGCGUUGGGGAGUGGCAGCCAGCGAGUGGCCGAGGCUGCCUGCAAUGCCGUGAUGGACCUCUCGGCGUCUUCAAUUGGCAGGGAGCACCUCUCGGGCUCACCUGUUCUGCCGAGGCUAUUGUAUCUAUUUUCUCAGGUGGAAUCUAUUUCUGGGGCUGUCGGUGGCGGGAGCACCGGGUGCCAAGCAAGGGUUUCAGAGCCAAGUAAAUGUUUGAACUUGAUCAUUGACACAGUGGUGCUCAUGGUGAACUCCUGUAAAGUCGACAAGUUACACAAUCUUCAACAGGAGCUAGUUAGAAAAGUUAUGCAUUUGUUGUAUGAAGUAUGGAGCAAAGUUAGACUCUUACAGUCAUCAGCUGACUGCAGCAACGGGAAGGAUCAACUUCAAAGCAGACCAUAUGAGAUAUCUGAAGCUAUUUUUAGGCUUUCGAUGGAUCUUGCUUAUCCAGCCCACCUGGAACCUGAUGAAGUCAGAAAAAGCUUUUUUGGACAAACGGAAUCUGACUUUGAAAAGUUUGCCCUGAUGUACUGGGAAAACUCACCUUAUUUGUACAGGAAGAAACAAAGUGGUCUGGAGGGGGAUGCUGUGUUCACUGCAUUGCAUAACGCUUUUGAUCUUAGAACACCUGAUGCUAUCAUUGAGUCAUUCAUACAGGACCUUGUUUCUUGCCCUGCUAUUGCUUCGGAUGAACUCAACAUAAAUUCCUUUCUCGAUGAGGUUCAUGAUUCCUUGGGUGCUGCUGUGAAGUAUAGGCAAGAUGUAAGAGUCGUGAGAACACCAGAUCAGACCUCAACAGGAUCUGGGAUAGAGGAGCAUUUCUUUGAUGAUGGAACAGUCUUCCCAGAUGCAACUGCAUUUGUUGAAAAAUGUAAGGGCGCAAUCAGGAAUGGUUUCUCAAUCGCCUUGCGUGGCAUGGAGUUUCGGUCUGAAAAGGUUGCUGCUAUAGCUUCUGCUCUAGCUGAUCUAUUUGGUCAGCCUUCUGUAGGGGCCAACAUAUACUUCUCACCCCCAAGAUCUCAAGGUCUGGCCCGGCACUAUGAUGACCACUGUGUGCUUGUUUGGCAACUACUUGGACGCAAGAAAUGGAAGAUUUGGCCCAAUACAAAGUCAAUUCUGCCUAGAUUAUAUGAACCUUUUCACUCUUUAGAUGGCUUGGUGGAUGAUCGUGGUGGAAGGGUGGAAGUUUUACGUGAAGGAGACAUAAUGUAUGUUCCUAGAGGCCAUGUGCACGAGGCUUGCACUGACAUUGACGAAGGUGAAUCUGAAGUCAAUGCAUCCGCCAAUUACUCGCUCCAUUUGACCCUUGCCAUCGAGGUCGAGCUACCCUUUGAGUGGGAAGGGUUCACACACAUUGCUCUUCACUGCUGGUUGGAGGAGCAGAAACUUGUGGGGAGCUCUGGAUCUGUCGAGUCCAGGAUGGAAGAACAAGCUCCAUUGUUUGCUCUCCUGCUGCAUGUGGCCAUCAGGUUGCUCUCGGACAAGGAUCCUACACUCAGGAAGACGUGCAUGGUUGCGGCAAAGCUCCCAUCAUCCAGUAAGUCUGUCCGAAGCAGCCAUAGGUCAAUCUUCGACGAGAUACUCGACAACAUCGACAGGAACUGCGGCUUUGAGGAUGCGCUGAGGUCGGUUGAGCUCGCGGUCAAGGAGAGGAACGAUGAGCCGUUCCAGUGGAUGUGCUGGCUCCGGCAUCUCCCACAGCAGCAGCAGCAGCACGGUCGCAGCAGCAGGAUCGGCUUCUGCGACGUCCUGGGGCCCUUGGAAGAGCUUCUUGACAUGUUCAGCUCCGAUCGUGAGCGAGCCUCAGCCGAUUUCGCCGAUUUCAAGUCAAGGUUCUGUAGGCGUGCCAUGUACGACGACGCUUGCAGCGAGUUCGAGGCGCUGCUCGUUUUGUAUCGGGCGGGUCGGACGCGGUACGCCAAGGGCAUGCUUGCGUUGCACGGGAAGCAUGGAGGGUAA
rnacentral:rRNA from 1 species